UUUUGCAUYAUGCUGUUUCGAUGUUGUAGUGAAUUGCUUUUUACCGAAAGGGUUUGAUUUUUAAUUCAAUUAAUAAGAAGUUUGUUAUCGAGUAGAGUAAAAAAUUGAUUUAAUGUUGUGAUAAAUGAGUCGUUUUCCCUUAUAUCUGUUUUUUGUCUUAAUCUUCUGUUUAUUUAUCGGGCAGAGAGGUCCGGUAAUGGUGUAUAUAUUAGUUUUUCUUUAUACUCAAUAGGGUUAAAAAUCCCCAUUUGUAAAAGUUUUGUUAUAAUUUGUUUUAAAUUUGGGUUGUUUAUUACAUUUAGAUGGCAAAUAUAUUUAAUAAUUUGGUUUAUUUAUGAUACAAUGAGUAAUUAUAUAAAUUGUAUUGUUUCUCAAGCAUAUUCCGUCUGUUUAUUAAAAACAUUUCUAUAUAAAAUUUUAUAUAGUAGGACCUGCUCAAUGUUUAGUUAUUAAUAGCCGCAGUAUUUUGACUGUGCGAAGGUAGCAUAAUUAAUUGCCCUUUAAUUGGGGGCUUGUUUGAAUGGUCUGACGUGGGUAUUGUUAACAUUAUUUUUGUUUGUGAAAUUAAUUUUGAGGGCACAGAAUCCUCAUGUGUUAAUUAGACGGAAAGACCCCGGGAUCUUUUAUUUUUGCCUGGGGCAGGUUAUAUUUUUUCAAAUUUUAUAUUUUGACCCUACAUUAGGUUAAUUGGUGUAAGUUACCCCGGGGAUAACAGUGUAAUAGCUUAUUAGAGAUCUUAUCAAUUAAGUUGUUUGCCACCUCGAUGUUGACUUAAGUAAAUAGUAAGGCGCAGUAGUUUUAUUAUGUGGUCUGUUCGACCUUAAUUACUUCCAUGAGUUGAGUUAAGACCGGCGUAAGCCAGGUCGGUUCUUAUCUAUU
rnacentral:rRNA from 1 species